CCCGCACAAGCAGUGAGUAUGUGGUUUAAUUCGAAGCAACGCGAAGAACCUUUACCAGGGCUUGACAUCCCUUGAAGCAGCUAGAGAUAGCUGUGUCCUUCGGGACAAGGAGACAGGUGGUGCAUGGUUGUCGUCAGCUCGUGUCGUGAGAUGUUGGGUUAAGUCCCGCAACGAGCGCAACCCCUGUGGUUAGUUGCCAGCAAGUAGCGUUGGGCACUCUAGCCAGACUGCCGGUGAUAAAUCGGAGGAAGGUGGGGACGACGUCAAAUCAUCAUGCCCUUUAUGUCCUGGGCUACACACGUACUACAAUGGCCGUUACAACGGGAAGCGAAGGAGCAAUCCGGAGCAAAUCCCUUAAAGGCGGUCCCAGUUCAGAUUGUGGGCUGAAACUCGCCCACAUGAAGGCGGAAUUGCUAGUAAUUGCAGAUCAGCAUGCUGCAGUGAAUACGUUCCCGGGCCUU
rnacentral:rRNA from 1 species